GCGCAGGUAGCCGCCGGGAGUGCCGUGGGUACAGCUUUGGGCUGUCCCGGCGGCAGUUCGAGGCCGCUCCCGGGCC
rnacentral:tRNA from 1 species